GAUUUCAUCUAUAAAUGAUUAUAUAUACAGUCCUGAUAGUAAUUAUUAGGAUUGAUGUUCAGUGGAUCAGCGAGUGAGUGAGAACAGGUGUGGCACUGAGAACUAUUAGCAUGGACGUGAAUGCAAAUCAGAAAAGAGCAGCAUUUGCUAGGCUUCAGACAGACUGCACAAGAACAGAAUUAAAGUGAACAGACUUGUUUCGUGGCUGAAGAUCUGUGGAGCGUCAUAAACUACAGGAGAAACUGAACGUUUGGAAAAGUGGAUUAUGGCAAACAAAGACGAUGAGGUAGAAUCUAAUACACCGAUAGAGAAAAUUACGCCGAGACGAGUCAGACGGAACAGCGUUAAUAGUGGAAAACCAAACUUUUUUCAUGAUGCAGACAGACCUGCAGAGAUCCGUUCUGAUCUUCAAGUCAAGUCACCUUUAUUUCUGUAGUGUUUUAUACAAUACAGAUAGAUUCACAGAUGAGAUGACAUUUACACACAGAGAAAAAAAAUACUAUAAAAAACUAAUGCAUUUGUAAGUUGUAAUAUCAUAAUGAAAUGAAUUUAGAAUUAAAAUAUUUUUUCCCAUUUAAUUUCACUAAUGAAUCUGCACUAUGACAACACUGACUGGCACUGACAUUUAUUUUGAUUGGGUUUAUGUUCAUGUUGUAUAUUGUGUUUGUAAAUUUUGUAAAAAAAAGACAGAAAACAAACAAUAAAUGAAAAACAAGCAAGUAAAGCAAAGCGCAAUCAAUACAAAUCUCUCAUGCACACUUUGCAUUAAAUCAUUUGUAUGUAGUAUUUCCCAACCUUAUUUCCAUCCUCUAUGCAAAGUUGCUGAGAUUACCCUUUGUCAUUGCCUGAUACUGUAAGAUAGCUCCACAGGAUAAUGGUUUUAACAGUUGUGAAAUAAAAGCAUUCUGAUAUAUAUGUGAGCUUCCUUUAGUGAAAAUUGAUGUCAAGAAAAUGUCAUGCCAACACUGAUGGCACUAGCAGAUCAGGUUCAAAAUAAAGUGCUGUAUAAACACAUGAACUGGAUGCUAAUGCCUCAUUUGUUUGUCGUGCAAAUCACUUUCGAUCACUCAUAAGAGCAGAUUUGUUUUUUAACAUGGCUUUAUAAUGUACAGAUUCAACUUGUUUUUCUGAAAAGCCAUCAGUGGGUAUUUUCUGCUUUGAGAAUAAAAUAGUUAUUUACAAAACAAAUUGAAUGUAUGGUUUAAAUUUAACACUUCUUUUUUUCUUUUUUCUUUUUUUUAAGUUUUCACAUUUGCUAUCAUCACAAUAAUGUCCUGGUUGUCCCUUCAGUCCUAAAACUCACAGAAAUAGCUCAAUGAAAUGCAGAAGAAAUGCUGGGUCACAAAACUAUAUUCAACCAGGUAGCCAAAAUUGUCUGCACGCACUGGAAACAUGCAAUCAGACUAAAGAAGGUCUAUCAAAAAUAUCUCUUUUAUUUUUCAUAUACGAAAGUAGAAAAGUUGCAAAAGUGAAAGGUAUCUUAAAAACAAACCAAAGAGCAAAUGUUUCAACCCAUGCUUUCUUUAGUGCACCAAAAAAUAAAAUAUAUAUUUUUGAUAGACCUUUUUUUGGUCUUAUUGCCUGUUUCUGGUGUGUGGACAACCUGGUUAAAUAUAUUUUCAAGAAUGUAUCA